UACGUAGGGUGCAAGCGUUAAUCGGAAUUACUGGGCGUAAAGCGUGCGCAGGCGGUUAUAUAAGACAGAUGUGAAAUCCCCGGGCUCAACCUGGGACCUGCAUUUGUGACUGUAUGGCUAGAGUACGGUAGAGGGGGAUGGAAUUCUGCGCGUAGCAGUGAAAUGCGUAGAUAUGCGGAGGAACACCGAUGGCGAAGGCAAUCCCCUGGACCUGUACUGACGCCCAUGCACGAUAGCGUGGGGAGCAAUCAGG
rnacentral:rRNA from 1 species